CCCAAACUCCUACGGGAGGCAGCAGUGGGGAAUAUUGCACAAUGGGCGAAAGCCUGAUGCAGCGACGCCGCGUGAGGGAUGACGGCCUUCGGGUUGUAAACCUCUUUCAGUAGGGAAGAAGCGAAAGUGACGGUACCUGCAGAAGAAGCGCCGGCUAACUACGUGCCAGCAGCCGCGGUAAUACGUAGGGCGCAAGCGUUAUCCGGAAUUAUUGGGCGUAAAGAGCUCGUAGGCGGUUUGUCGCGUCUGCCGUGAAAGUCCGGGGCUCAACUCCGGAUCUGCGGUGGGUACGGGCAGGCUAGAGUGAUGUAGGGGAGACUGGAAUUCCUGGUGUAGCGGUGAAAUGCGCAGAUAUCAGGAGGAACACCGAUGGCGAAGGCAGGUCUCUGGGCAUUAACUGACGCUGAGGAGCGAAAGCAUGGGGAGCGAACAGGAUUAGAUACCCUGGUAGUCCAUGCCGUAAACGUUGGGCACUAGGUGUGGGGGACAUUCCACGUUUUCCGCGCCGUAGCUAACGCAUUAAGUGCCCCGCCUGGGGAGUACGGCCGCAAGGCUAAAACUCAAAGGAAUUGACGGGGGCCCGCACAAGCGGCGGAGCAUGCGGAUUAAUUCGAUGCAACGCGAAGAACCUUACCAAGGCUUGACAUGGGCCGGAUUGCCGCAGAGAUGUGGUUUCUCCUUUUGGGGCCGGUUCACAGGUGGUGCAUGGUUGCCGUCAGCUCGUGUCGUGAGAUGUUGGGUUAAAGUCCCGCAACGAGCGCAACCCUCGUUCCAUGUUGCCAGCACGUAGUGGUGGGGACUCAUGGGAGACUGCCGGGGUCAACUCGGAGGAAGGUGGGGACGACGUCAAAUCAUCAUGCCCCUUAUGUCUGGGCUUCACGCAUGCUACAAUGGGCCGGU
rnacentral:rRNA from 1 species